rnacentral:rRNA from 1 species
UGGGGAAUAUUGCGCAAUGGGCGGAAGCCUGACGCAGCGACGCCGCGUGAGGGAUGAAGGUCUUCGGAUUGUAAACCUCUUUCAGUAGGGACGAAUUUGACGGUACCUGCAGAAGAAGCACCGGCCAACUACGUGCCAGCAGCCGCGGUAAUACGUAGGGUGCGAGCGUUGUCCGGAAUUAUUGGGCGUAAAGAGCUCGUAGGCGGUUCGUCGCGUCGAAUGUGAAAACCCGGGGCUCAACUCCGGGCCUGCAUUCGAUACGGGCGGACUAGAGUUCGGUAGGGGAGACUGGAAUUCCUGGUGUAGCGGUGAAAUGCGCAGAUAUCAGGAGGAACACCGGUGGCGAAGGCGGGUCUCUGGGCCGAUACUGACGCUGAGGAGCGAAAGCGUGGGGAGCGAACAG